rnacentral:tRNA from 1 species
GCCCUCAUCCAGGCGAGGGACGAAACACGUCCUAGCAAGUUCCUAAACCGUGGGUCGCAGGUUCGAAUCCUGCCGGGGGCACCA